rnacentral:rRNA from 1 species
AGUGAACGCUGGCGGUAGGCCUAACACAUGCAAGUCGAACGGCAGCACAGUAAGAGCUUGCUCUUACGGGUGGCGAGUGGCGGACGGGUGAGGAAUACAUCGGAAUCUACUUUUUCAUGGGGGAUAACGUAGGGAAACUUACGCUAAUACCGCAUACGACCUACGGGUGAAAGCAGGGGAUCUUCGGACCUUGCGCGAUUGAAUGAGCCGAUGUCGGAUUAGCUAGUUGGCGGGGUAAAGGCCCACCAAGGCGACGAUCCGUAGCUGGUCUGAGAGGAUGAUCAGCCACACUGGAACUGAGACACGGUCCAGACUCCUACGGGGGGCAGCAGUGGGGAAUAUUGGACAAUGGGCGCAAGCCUGAUCCAGCCAUACCGCGUGGGUGAAGAAGGCCUUCGGGUUGUAAAGCCCUUUUGUUGGGAAAGAAAAGCAGCAGGUUAAUACCCCGCUGUUCUGACGGUACCCAAAGAAUAAGCACCGGCUAACUUCGUG